GUGCCAGCCGCCGCGGUAAUACGAAGGGGGCUAGCGUUGUUCGGAAUUACUGGGCGUAAAGGGCGCGUAGGCUGUGCUGUAAGUCAGGCGUGAAAUCCCCGGGCUCAACCUGGGAAUUGCGCAUGAUACUGCGGCGCUGGAAUGCAGGAGAGGAUGGCGGAAUUCCCAGUGUAGAGGUGAAAUUCGUAGAUAUUGGGAAGAACACCGGUGGCGAAGGCGGCCAUCUGGCCUGCAAUUGACGCUGAGGCGCGAAAGCGUGGGGAGCAAACAGGAUUAGAUACCCCCGUAGUCC
rnacentral:rRNA from 1 species